AAAGAUUAAGCCAUGCAUGUCUAAGUAUAAGCACUUUAUACUGUGAAACUGCGAAUGGCUCAUUAAAUCAGUUAUCGUUUAUUUGAUAGUACCUUGCUACAUGGAUACCUGUGGUAAUUCUAGAGCUAAUACAUGCUAAAAACCCCGACUUCAGGAAGGGGUGUAUUUAUUAGAUAAAAAACCAACGCCCUUCGGGGCUCCUUGGUGAAUCAUAAUAACUUAACGAAUCGCAUGGCCUUGCGCCGGCGAUGGUUCAUUCAAAUUUCUGCCCUAUCAACUUUCGAUGGUAGGAUAGUGGCCUACCAUGGUGGCAACGGGUAACGGGGAAUUAGGGUUCGAUUCCGGAGAGGGAGCCUGAGAAACGGCUACCACAUCCAAGGAAGGCAGCAGGCGCGCAAAUUACCCAAUCCCGAUACGGGGAGGUAGUGACAAUAAAUACUGAUACGGGGCUCUUUUGGGUCUCGUAAUUGGAAUGAGAACAAUUUAAAUCCCUUAACGAGGAACAAUUGGAGG
rnacentral:rRNA from 1 species